UAGUCUAUGCUGUAAACGGUGGGCGCUAGGUGUGGGGACCUUCCACGGUUUCUGUGCCGUAGCUAACGCUUUAAGCGCCCCGCCUGGGGAGUACGGCCGCAAGGCUAAAACUCAAAGGAAUUGACGGGGGCCCGCACAAGCGGCGGAGCAUGUGGAUUAAUUCGAUGCAACGCGAAGAACCUUACCUGGGCUUGACAUAUGUGGGAUUGCUGCAGAGAUGUGGUUUCCCUUGUGGCCCGCAUAC
rnacentral:rRNA from 1 species